UCGCAUCCAGCCGUGCAGGGUAUUGUGAUGUGGGGAGCAUGGCAUCCACAGGGAUGCUGGAGAAUGUGCUUGACAGACAACAACUUCAAGAACCUGCCGACCGGAGAUGUAGUUGACAAGCUGAUUUUUGAGUGGAAAUCUGAUAACCUGGCUGCAACAACUGAUGUUGAAGGUCUGCACAGGGCCGAGCUCUUCCAUGGCGAGUACAAGAUAACAAUAAACCACCCUUCAAGCAACUCAUCAUCUAUGCGGAGCUUGACAGUGGAUUCAGCUUCACAGAACAACAGUGUACUCAGGGUCAUCGUCUAAGCAACUGAAUCUGGCAAUCACAAAGCCAGAUUUCAGUAGAUCUUCUUCUUCUAUAAUUAAUUUAUUUCUUGAACUUGAGGUCGUCAAUGCUUGUUAACGGUUGGAGAUUAGGAGGGAAAACCCUAAAAAGUUUCCUCCUUUUACUCUUGCACGGCACUUGUUGACUGAAUUAAAUAUUUAAUAAUCAGUUUUAAUCAAUUUAAUAUUUAUCAAUAUAAAUAUAUUAUGGUGAAAGCCAAUCCAUUGCUUCCACGUCACAAUUUCACAUCUCUUUGGCAGUUUCAAGUGAUUCAGAGAUGAAAAAGAUCGACAUGUAAACCUGUCUAAAUUGAAAAAUAAGAAUUAUUUAUGUUAAUUUUUAGUAAAAAAGUUUACUUAUUAACUUAGAAUAAUUGCUAAAUAUUUUUCGCUUGGGAAACUGGGAUUCUAAAUGGAAUUGGAUAGCUGACUAAUAUUGGAAUUGCAACCUUGAACUUCACAUCAGUUGACCUUUGAUUGCCUAGAUUUUUCUGGUCUUUUAUGGCAAUACUUGGAUUAAAAGAUCACAAAUAACCAAAUACGAAACAUGUGAUACUUACUAGCCACCAGCAAUUUAAAUGCACUUGUUAGUCACUGCUAUCGUUCUUGGAUGUAUUUGCAAUUAAUAUCAGUAGUUUUUAUUAAAGGUGAGAUUAGGAGAUUUUGAGACCAGGUUAUACAUGCCUUAAAUCAAGUCAAAUAAACAAAAAAUGUUCCACAUAUCUACCUUUUUGUCAAGAGUGUUGUGCUUGCAAGUUUCAGCUAGCCACAGAUGAGAGGUACUUCAUCAGAAGUUAGAUGUGUUUGGAAAGCUAUCAUAUGAUGUUGUAUUGGUGGUUGAUUUUAGUGUGUUACUUAGCAUGGUGAGAAUGAAGAUGUUAGCAGCACUAGUUGUAAAUUUAUAUAACAGUAGCAUAAAAUCAUAAUGUUACUGUUAUAUAAAAAUAAAAUUUAAUAUCAUAAUCAAACUUAAAUAACGAUAUAUCAAGAUCAGGAUUAUAUACCUUUUGAUGUCAUUUCAGAAACCAGGUCUACAAAUGCAUCAUCAUUGGAUCCGAAAGUUAUAGUAAUAUCGAUCCAUAAAGAAAACUAUACUCGUUUUUAUUUCUCUUCCUAAGAUCACUAUAAGUGAUGAAACACAAAUUAGAAAGAUUAAAAAUUUUACGAUUAAAAUAGAGAAUCUAAGAUAAGAAAGUAGGAGAGUCCUUCCUAUUAACGUUCUCUCCUAUUGAAUCCUACUAUAACUGGAUUUCUUUUAUAUUGACUAAUAAUUAUAAUCAAGAUCUAAUCAAAUUUAUAAUAUAUAUUAUCUAAUUAAAUAGGAUAAUAUAAUCUAAUAUUCUUUUACUUAAUCCAUUAAUUGAUAAGAUAUAAAAAAAUUAAAAUUAAAAUAAAUAAAAUAAAAUUUUAUUUUAUUUAAAAAUAAAUUUACCUAAUUGGAUUCUAAAAAAAUUAAAAAUUAUUUUAUAUAUGGUAAUAAAUUUUAAAAUAAAUCAAUAAGUCUAAUAAGUAUAAAAUAUUAUGUUAAAUUAGAUUAUCAAUGCAAGUCAUAGCGAUUGUGAAUAUAAAUCCUGAAUUUGACUUAUCAUUGUCUUUAUAAUUUUUUAAUGUUCCAUUUCUAUCUAAUAUUCUAUCUAAUAUUCAAACUAUAAAACUAAUAUAUGGUCUUGUAUAUAUUUGAGCAUAUAAUAAACUUAUAACAAUGCAUACAUAAGAAAUAUCCUUCAUUUGAUUUAUUUCUAAGUCAUUUUUGAAACACUGACUUUGACUAAAUUUUUUAUCGUUGGUAAUAUGUGUAUCAUUAAUUCAGCAAAAUUACAUACUAAAUCUUUCUUCUCCGCCAAUAUAUCUUUUUUGAGACAAUCCUUGAAUUUCUUAAUACCAAUAACAUAAGCUGUCUUAUUCAUAUCAAUAAUAUUAAAAUUUUUGAUGAGAAAUAUUUUGGUUUUAUGUAAUAAACUAAAAUUAUUACUGACAAAUAAUAUAUUAUUCACAUAUAAGACUAAUAUAAUAAACUUUCACUAUUGGUAAUAGGUGUAUCAUUAAUUGAGCAAAAUUAUAUACAAAAUCUUUCUAAGACUUAGCCAAUAUAUCCAUUGUGAGAUAAUCCUAGUAAUUCUUGAAUAUCUCACUACUAAUAACAUAAGCUGUAUUGUUCAUAUUAAUUAUUUUAAAAUUUUUGAUGAGAAAUAUCUUGAUUUCAUGAAAUAAAUCAAAAUUACUACUGGCAAGUAAUAUACCAUUCAUAUAUAAGAUUAAUAUAAUAAACUUAUUCUAAUUGAUCAUUAGAUAUAUAUUAAUCAAUAAUAUUUUUUCUUAAAUAUGAAUGAAAUAAUGAUAUCAUAAAGUUUUAUAUAUUAUUAUUUAAAAGCUUGUUUAAGACCAUAAAUAAAAUUUCUAAGUUGCAAAUCCAACUUUUUUCUUUUUUUUUUCCUAUGAAUCAUUUAUGUUGUUUUAUGUAAAUUUUAUCAUCUAGUUCUUUAUUCAGAAAUACUAUUUUUAUAUAUGAUAUAACUCAAAAUCAUAAUGAGCUAUUAAUGUUAUGAUGAUUCUCAACGAGUCUUUUUUAAAAAUAAAAAAAAAUCUCAUUAUAGUUGAUGCAUUCUUUCUGAGAAAAAUCUUCAGCCAAAGACUCAUUUAUAAUUGACGAUUUUAUAAUUAUUGAAUAAUUUAAUAAAUUCUUAUAUUUCAUUUUGGUUCAUCAAUUUUAAUUUUUCUUUCAUUAUAUCAUAUCACUUUUAGAAUCAUUAAUUUUCAUGACUUAUGAAAAUGAUAAGGAAUCUUUUUUAUUUCUAAUAUCAUAAUAUGAUUCUUAUAGAUAUACCAUAUAAUUAUAAAAAAAAAUGAUAAAUCUCUUUUUUUUCUUUCGGAUGUUCUUAAAACUACUAAUUAUAGUUAUUAUUAUUAUUAUUAUCAUCAUCACCGAUCAAAGGCAGUGGUGUUGUUGCCUUGUUGUGUUAUCAUACACAACAGCAUUGCUACAUGUAAGGCGUCAAUGACUAAGGUAGGUCAUUGCAGCAUCGCCUUGGCUACUGUACAGAAACAACUAUCAUUGCAUGCAACAACAUUGUUAUUUGCAUAGUUCUUGCCCAUGAUUGGGUUGGGCUGAUGACUAACGGACGUUGUUGCCCUCAACAGUGCUGUUGUCGACCAAAUAUGAGUAGCACACUUUCCAAUGCAAGUUACCAACAUUGCAACGCCCUUAGGCAGACGGUAAAAUGGAUAAGAUAGAAAAAUAGAACGAUAACACAAACAAAUCGUUUAAGCAUCGUAUAAUGAAAAUUCAGAUAACACCGAAGAGUAUUAACAAACAUAUCUAUAUGCAAAAUAGAUAUUUUAUAAUUUAAAAUAUUUGAUUUCGAUAUAAUAUACUUUGAUACCAUUUGUAAGCAUAAAAUUAUAAUUAUACUAUUGUUAUGCGAAAAAAAAACUUUAAUACCAGAGUCGAAAUCAAAUAAUAAUAAUUGAGGUUAAUAUUGUAUAUUUUUUAUGUUAUUUAAAAAAAAUUAUAUGAUUUACAAAUGCACCAUAGUUGGAUUUAAAAAUUGUAGAGAUGCCAAGGAGAAGUAAACUCACCUUUUCUCUUCUAUCAGAUGAAAUAUGGACUUAUGAAGAUUGAAAAUAGAUCUCAUAUCAUAUAUAGUAUUAAUGAGGACUUAUAUAUUUAUAAGUGGAAGUAAAGGUCUAAAAUAAAAAGUAAGGAAAUUCAUUUCGUCGAGAUCAUCUCCAUCAAAAUUAUAUUAUAAAUGAGCUUCCUUGUCGAUAAUUAUAACUCUAAUUUAAUUAAAUCUAUAAUUUAAUUAAAUCUAUAAUAAUACUUACCUAAUUAAAUAGAAUCACUUAAUUUAACAUGCGUUUAUUUAUCACCUUCUCCGGUCACAAGUGUCAAAUCUCAAACUUGCAUGCAAAAGGAGAUUACCAAUAGUACCUAAUAUCCCAAACUUCUUGGCCAGCACAGGUUUUGAUUUGAGUGAAAGCACAACAUUUCAACUGUGUUCACCAACAACUCUCUAUCUCUCCUGUCUCUAGCAUACGGCUGGCCAAUAUGUUGAGUAUGGAGAAGUCAUGUUUUGUUUGCAGUGGACAAGUCGAUCAUUUCCUACCUCUAUUUCGGCGAUGAAGGAGAGUUUGAUUAAACACUAUCUGAUUAAAGAAUCGCACGCAUCAAUGUCUCUUUACUUCAGCUUUGGUUGUGGCUGAGUAAAAAGGGUUGAGGAUGAGUUUGUCGCAAGGGAGAUUGAGUGAUGGAUUGACAAUGAUGGAUAAAAAGAACGUAAAUUUUACUGUCUCUUAUGGUAUCUUUCUGCUCUGCCUUAUCAUGAAUUAUUGAAGCCUACCAGCUUCUGAGUUGAUCUUCAAUUUCUCAGCAGAAUUAUAAUUUCUCGAGAAGAAAUGGCAACUUGAUCUCCAUAAACUCUAGUCAACGCUGGUGUUUGAUAAGUUGGGACUCUCCUCUAAUUCUUAAUGACUUCGUCUUUGAUAGAUGCCACAGCUCAGUCAACAUUCCAUGGCUUCCACAAUUAUCACUUUGCUACCUAACCUCAAGUAGAAUACUUAUGUGAUAAUGAUACAAUAUAGUCUUUUUCAAUCUCAACAAGCACAGAAAGCAUUACAAGAAACAAAAAUGAAGUAGAUUGAAGAAACUAAGCAUGAUGUACCAGUAUAUGACCAAACCCAGACCCUCUUCUUAAGAGAACUAAAUCUACUUUUCUUAGUUUCAUGCAAAGCAUGCUUGAUUUUUCUGGUUCUGAUGCUGAAUUUUCAGAGACUGAUAGCAAACAGUGUCAUGUGAGUGUAUUUAAGGUUGAUCUUUGUCAGUCUGUUGUCUAAGUUUCAUGUAAUUUCUUCUACAAUCUCAGACAGCUCCAUCACUUCUUCCUCAUGCUUGUUUUGAGUGACCCAUGGAGAAAAGUUAGUGGCAUGCACAGGUACUUUUUCACUUUUUGGAAUAUUGGAUACUCUGUUGAUGCAUAUUAGCUGUACAUACAACACAUUGAGAUACUCAAGGAAGGUUUUGUUUUUCUAGUCAGGUUAAUUUGAUAAUAGUGAAGAGAAUUGAUUUCUUCCUUGUGUUUUCUUUUUCAGAAUCAUGACAUAAAUGUUGGAUAUGAGAUCAGUAAGGGAAACUCAAAUUUUUGUAAUGUCUUUAGUCCAUUUUUAAUUGUUGUUAGCCCUUUUAGAUAUUUCAUUUGACUAAAUAUAUGAUUUAAUUUUAUGACCAUUAACUAGCCAUUGAUUAGUCAUUUUAAUUGUUUUUGUUGAUUAAUUUUAUAUCAUUAAUUUAGUGAUGUUUAGAUUCUUAAUGAGCCUAAGUGGUUUCAGGAUUGAGACCUCUAUGGCAAGACUUAAAUAUCAUAUAUUUUACUCAUUUCUUUAUCAGAUCCCAUAUGGUCUUACUCUAUUGAAAAAAAAAUCAUAUACUGAAUGCCAAUAAUAAUGAUUUUACAUGACAUGUGUUAAUUUAUAUUUUGAUUAUCUGACAUGUUAGGGAUUUAUAUCCAAUUUCGAUCCGACAUGUUGAUGUGUUGAGCCACCGAGAUAUGCAAUAAGACAUGAUAUAUCGGAUUGCAUAAAUGUCAGAAUUCUCUUUAUCAUUUAUUUUAUGUUCUUAUCAUCUAUUUCCUGUUAUAUUUCGAUACGCUGAGGAAUAUAAGACACAAUAUUAUUCAAUAGACCUACAUGAGCAUGUUAUUUAUCGCACAUCUUGGUGCAUUGGUCUAGAGUCAUUAGAGAACUUGGGUUCAGAUGCAUCAUAAUUACGGAAUAUUUUAUGGAUGAAUUCAGUCACAUCAACAUCGAACGAUGCAUGAUGGUUUGGUUUAGCCACAUCAUAAUUAGAUGAAACUUUAUGGCUAAAUUAGAAUCUUCUAAUCAGAUUUAGUUGUAUCAUUGUCGAACAAUACUUUAUGAUCGAACAUUAGUAGAGUGGUACAUGUCGUCUCAUCUUUAUUUGAGAUAUAUGUGUGAUUGGUCAUUGUUACUUUAAUUUUUAGCUUGAGUAAUGCAUAAUUUAUAAUAGUUCAAAUUCACUCGUAUAAACUAUCACCAUCAUUAUAGUUUUUUUACGAGCGUAACCACCUUGAGUUGCUUUGAUUAUGAUGUAUAAUAUUAUUUGAUUUAGUUUCUCAUGAUUCUUGUUCAUUAUCUUACAGUUGGUUUUUCAUCGACUAAUGGAAGAGCCACGAAAACAAUCAAUCAAACUAUCAAGAUCCGAUAAGAUUGUAAUAUCGACCAUCAAUCUUGAAUGGCCAAUUUGUGGCCAUUGUUAAUCAAGAAAAUGAAGGGUUUGAUGCUAAAAUUCAAUUUUCAUCAAAGAAAAAACUCAUUGAUAACAAAAUUCCCAUUCAGCUAUUAAUCUAGAAAAAUUCUACUAUAAAAUUUAGAAUAUUAUAUGGUGAUUAAUCACCAUCACAUAUUGAUUGCCAAAAUAGCAACGUCGUGAUCGUCCGUCAUAAUAAUAAUAAUUAUUAUUAUUAUAUUUGAUUAGCUUAUAUUCAUCUCAACCUAAUAAAACCAAUAAUUACAUAUUGGCACGUAUACCAAAAAAAGUCUUUUUAUUCUAAGAAAAUACUACACAAACAAGUUAUCUUGGAUUUUGAUAAACAUUUGUUCUUCUUUUUUUAAUAACACUAUUAGAAAAUUUCAACCAAACAUUCACAACUGUCGCUGUCAUAGCCGCAGCAAACAACAGCAGCAACGAUCUGUUCUUGCCCUACUCACGAAGCCUCUGGCUCGUAAACUUUUUACUUUACAUUGAUCCAAGAUUUGUGUCCUUGAUAGGAGCACCAUCUUGCGGAGGCAUGAUAGCAGAUUAGAUUUCCUCAACAGAUUAGAGGAUUUCCCUCAAUAGAGUAGAAAGAUAUUCUCAUAUAGUUGAGAAAAUCUUAUCUGUUAUCAUGCCCCUGCAAGAUAUGCUCAUAUCAAGGACACCAAUCUUAGAUCGAUAUAAAGCAAACAGUUUACAAGCGAGAGGCUUCGUGAGUAGGGCAAGAGCAAAUCGCUGUUAUUGUUAUUGCUGCAGAGCUGCAAUAAAGGAGUUGCAACAGAGGAAAUAGCUGCAGGAAGAAGCUAUAACAGAAGUACAGCAGAGGAAGAAGCCAUACAGUGGACGACCGUACAACGGACAAAGAACGAAGUCCGAUAUGGUGAUUCGAUGGUCGUAGAGCCUUGCUCGUCUCACUUGCUCUGAUAUCAUAUUGAAAAAAAUAGAAGAUAAGAAAAAUUAUUAAAGAAACUUAAUUGUAUUUACAUACGUCCCUCUCCUAUUUAUAAGAGGGAAGAUUUCCCUCAACAGAUUAGAGCAUUUCCUAGUAGAGGAUAACAGAUUAGAGGAUUUCCCUCAACAGAGUAUAAGAUAUCCUCAAUUCUCGUUGAAAUCUUAUCUUUUCAAAGUUAUGGUCUGUGGAUAAAUAUACGAUCAUAUCUCAUUCACUAGCUUAAAGCUUUAGGUACGAUAAACACAAUCUCUAGUUGUUUAUGAGUCGAGGAUUUGGAUGAACAUAUCGGUAACAUUUUCUUUUCGAAUUCAGCUGUGAAUGUUUGAAAGUUGUGUUCGAAUAUUAUUCAGCUGCCAUUUUAAACUUUAUUGAUAUCCUAACGAGCAAAUUAUAAAUAUAUACAUAUAUAUUUUGUUUAUGCAGCGUUAACUACUUGUUAAUUUAAAACCCAUUACAAUAUUUAAAAUACUAUGACAUUUUAUCCAACAUUGCAAAUAGUUAUUAGGUCUUUUAAUGGAUGUUUUCUUUUGUUUUUGUUUUUCUUUUUUGAUGGACGUUAAUGACAAUAAUGUAAAAAAAGGAUUUCAAAUUUUGAAAUGAUAUAUAUGCUCUAUCAAAAUUUAUAAAGAUAAAUUAGUUAUUCCUAAACAUAUAUAUAAUCCUUUAUAACAAAAUUUCCUUGGCACUAUUAUUCAAAACAAAAUUCUACAUAAAAUUAAUGAAUACUAUAUGGUGAUUAUUCUCUAUUGUGAGUUGUAUAGAGGAUGCCAAAAUAGAAAAUAAUAAAUUAAUAAUGAUGAUGAUGACGAUGAUAAUAAUAAUAAUAGCAGUAGUAGUAACAACAAUAACAACCAUCCUUCAAGUAACUUUUCUUUUUCCAUAUAAUGGGAAAUAAAUUAUUACUAAACUUAGACAAUGAAAAAUAAGGAUCAAACUUACGUACCCCUUAGCUAUUAUAUAAUGUAGGAUCUUGUGUUCCUUUUUAUUUUAUUCUUUUAAUUCCUACACUUCUCCUCCUCCUCCUCCACCACCACCAUCUUCUCCUCCUCCUCCUCCUCAACUAAAUAGUCAUUUUCAUAGGUGUGAAGAAGGAUGAAGGUUUCCUUGCUCAAAUUCUUCCUUGUGUUUUCAUCUGCUGCAAUAUUUACAGGUAUGCCACGAACUUUGAUUGAUGUAAUAUGUCACAUUGAUGCAAUAAGAUGAGCAAUCCUUUGCACAUCAAUUGAUUAAGAUGCGAAAGAUAUAUGAAGUAUGAUUUAGCUAAAAAGGAGGAUAUUCCUCAGGAUAAAUUACUAAUGGCUUGUUCUUUGAUGUGGCUUUAGGAAAUUUGGUGACUUCAACAUCCUAUGAUUAUUCUGCGAGCAUAGAGGCAAGAAUGUUGUUUGAUUAUGAUGAAAUUAAUAUAUUAUUUUUUUCAUAUAUAUGUUUUAUAAUUUAUAUAGUUCUUCACUAUGACUAAUAUUAUUCAAAUUUUUUAAGGCUUCUAAAUAUAUAUACUUGCAAAGCUAUAAUUUAUUUAUCAUUAUAAUGUCUAAUUUAUAUGUUCCUUCAAAUUCAAGAUCCUUCACAUUUGUCAAUAUGGUUGCCAUCCUUUCAAAUCUAGGUUGACCAUUUUCUAACCUUGAUUAAGAUUAUUUUGUGUAGGUUAAAGAAAUAUAUAAAUAUGUAAAUUAUUUAAAAUAUUAUUAAUAAAUUUAGUAUUAGUUAUUAAGGAUAUUAUUAUAAAUUAAAAUUUUAGUACAUCUUAAAUAUUAAUAUAAUAAUAAUGUAUUAAAUUUAUUUAUCAAAGAUUGAGGGUUGGAAACACCUCUGCAUAUAUUUUACAAGUAUCAAUGAGUUUAGCUCCUAAGAAAUUUGAUAGUUUAUCGUAUAGUUCUAAAAUCGAAAGAAUGUAAACAAAAUUAAUACUUAGGUCUCUUGUAAUUAAUGAGAAUAUUAACACUCAUUACUCAACCUUUUAUUAUUUUCUCUGUCAUUUAAUACAAAUUUAUUCUUAUCACUUAAUCGUCCUGUUUAUGAACAAGACAUAGCUUUAGGUGGCUGAUGAUGAUGACCCCCACAACCAUGGGAAUCCUGACGUCCCUUGUUCCUCCUACAGUGCUUAGCAGAACCCCCGAGACCUCAAUAUGGUGGUGGUAUCGUCCGCAAUCCAGAAUUCAACGAUGGCCUCAAAGGAUGGUCGGUAUUCGGCUAUGGCCAGAUAGCCGAGAGGACAUCCGACACAGGUAACAGGUUCUUGGCUACUGAGCGUACACGCUCGUCACAUCAAAGCGUGUCUCAGAAGGUCUAUCUGCAGCGAGGGAUGCUCUACACCUUCUCAGGUAUUGUCAUGUCGAUGCCUGCAAGCACCGCUUACGUUACUGCUCGGCGAUGACGUUCCUCGUCUUGUUUCAGCCUGGUUGCAGGUCGACCAAGGAAACACCACCGUCACGGCCAUCUUCAAGACGGCUAAGGAUGGCUUCGUCCACGUCGGAGCGGUUGAAGCCCGGUCGGGGUGUUGGUCGAUGCUCAAAGGUGGCCUGACUGCCAAAUCCUCAGACCCAGCUGAGUUCUACUUCGAGGUGACUUCGACGGCACUCUUCCGCUCGCUUCACAAGGUUUAAUUUCUUCCAUCUCAAUGUCUGGUGGCUGCAGAGCAAGAAUACGAGAGUGGAGAUAUGGGUGGACAGUGUGUCGCUGCAACCGUUCACCGAGGAUCAAUGGCGAGCUCACCAAGAGGAGAGCAUCAACAAGGUAAGAGAUCAGACCGAGUUUCCGGUGUGCACAUCGAAGCUGUUCGAGUGAAAGCCACAAUGAAACAAGAUGUUAACUGCGUGCAGGUCCGCAAGAAGACUGUUGCAAUCCAAGCCGUGGAUGCCAAUGGCCACGCCCUGCCCGGUGCAUCAGUCUCGAUUCAGCAGACGAGGUCCGGCUUCCCCUUGGGUUGCGCACUGAAGAGUACCAUCCUCCAGAGCUCGGCAUACCAGAGCUGGUUCACCGCUCGCUUCAAUGUCACCACCUUCACGAACGAGAUGAAGUGGUACUCCAACGAGAAGGUGGAGGGCAACGAGACGUACGCCGUGGCGGACGCCAUGCUCGCGUUCGCUAAGCAGCACGGCAUCGCCGUCAGAGGCCAUAACGUCGUCUGGGACGACCGUCAAUAUGUGCAGAACUGGGUGCAGUCGCUCCCCACACAGAAACUCCGGGAAGCAGUGAACAGGAGGUUCAACUCCGUGAUGACGAGAUACCGAGGUCAGGUCAUCGCUUGGGACGUCGUCAACGAGAACGUCCACUUCUCCUACUUCGAGAGCAGGCUAGGCGAGAACGCGUCGUCCAUCUUCUACCAGCAGGCGCACCAGCUCGACCCUAACGCCCUCAUGUUCCUCAACGACUUCAACACACUGGAGGCUCCCGAAGACGAGAAAGUAACUCCAGUAAAGUACCUCCAGAAGCUGCAGCAGAUCCAGUCCUUUGGAAAUUUUCCGCGCAUGGCUAUCGGGCUUGAGGGCCACUUCACCACCCCCGACAUAUCUUACAUGAGAUCUGCUCUCGAUAAUCUUGCAGGAGCUAAUGUUCCCAUCUGGCUUACAGAAGUGGACGUUGCUCACUCAAACGAGGUACAGUAACUGUUCUUCCAUUGACAUCUUCUCCUUGAGUCCAUGAUCUUUGACAUCCGAAGUGAACGUGCAGUCGAAGCAUUUGGAGGACAUACUGAGGGAGGCAUACUCGCAUCCAGCUGUGCAGGGAAUUGUGAUAUUUGGGGUAUGGAAUCCAAAGGGAUGCUUCAGCAGAAUGUGCUUGACGGACGUCAACUUCAAGAACCUGCCCACUGGGGAUGUGGUUGACAAGCUGAUUGCUGAGUGGAGAACUCAUAAUGUGGCUGCAACAACUGAUGCUGAUGGUCUGCUCAGGGCGGAGCUCUUCCAUGGUGAGUACAAGAUAACAAUAAACCACCCUUCAAGCAACUCAUCAUCGGUGCGGAGCUUGACAGUGGAUUCAGCUUCACGGAACAACAAUGUACUCACGGUUAUGGUCUAAGCAACUGAAUCUGGCAAUCACAAAGGCAGAUUUCAGUAGGUCCUGUUCUUCGAUAGUUCUCUUAUUUCUUAGAAACUUGAGGUCGCAAGUGCUCGGUAAAGGUUAGAGAUUAGGAGGGAAAAGCCUAAAAGGUUUCCUCCUUUUACUCUUGCAGGACACUUGUUGACUGAAUUAAAUAUUUAAUAAUCAAUUCUAAUUAAUUUUUAUCUAAUGAUUGAUUUAAUCUUAGGAUUAUAUUAAUUGUUUCUUUUGGAUGGUCGAUAAUUUAGUAAAUAUCUUAAUGACACCAAAGUGAGUAAUAAUAAGUAAACAAUCAUGAAACAAUAUUUUUUAAUUUAUAAUUAUUUAAUCUUCACAUACAUUCACCCCAGAUUUUUUUUUCUUGAUCUCAUUAAUUUCUAUUAACCAUUUUCCUCUCGAUAAGUGAAGAUAAAUUAUUCUUAUUAUAAUUUUUCCAUUUCAAGCAUAAGAGAGAACAUUUGUACUCAAUCUUUUAUAAAACAUCUCUAACCUCUUAUAACUAAACAUCAUUAUAAAAUUAAAAAAAUAGAAGUGACUCAAACAAUACAGCUACAAUACUUUAUAAAUUCAAGGUUGGAUUCUUCGUAUGUCAAGCUCUCAUGAGGUAUUUAUAAUCGUCAAUAGACUUAAAAAAUAGAGUUAAAAGUUUAAAUUUUUAAUAUUUCAUAGUAUAAAUAGUAUUAUUAUUAUAUUUUUUUGAAAAAAAACUAUAAUUCUAUACUUCGAUUGUACUAUCACUAUAAUAGGUGGUACCACUAUUGAAAUAAUUUAUAAAGCACAAAUUAUGCUUGUAAGAUAAUCAAGCGAUACCAUCGCUUGGGUUUGAUGGUACUACCACCCCCAUGUUCUAAUUUUAAAUCAACUUUAAGCCUAAUGACUAUUGCAAACUUAGAGUCUUUUUCAACUUGAUGCGAAUUCAAAUUGAUUGAAAAUAAUCUCAACCAAGACCUUGACUCAUCAACCACUCAUGUGGCACAUAUUUAAAUCUUCUAACAUGUUGUUCACUCUUUUCACAUGUCAUUUGAUCUUUCAAAAUUUCAUUCAAAUCUCUAACAUAUUGUCUUAUCCUCUAAUACAACUUAUAAUCCUAUAAUAUAUCGACUUCGUCAUAAUAUCUGAUCUUUCAAUGCGAUAUUUGAUUCUUCUAAUACGAAGUUUGAUAUCCAAUACAUCGAUCAUUUCUCUAACUCAAUAUCUAAUUUCUUUUCUUGCACAAUAAUCUUUUGGCAUAAUAUCCAAUUGUCUAACUUGACAUUUGGUCAUUUUGUUAUGAACGAUCAUCACGCACCCUCAACACCUUCGUAUUUGAGCGAUUGCUAAUUAUAAAUAGUUUAAAGGCUAUUGAGCGACCGCUAAUUAGAAUGGCCAAAACUAUGAUAAUGGCCCAAUUGUUGCAUAUCAUGACUUGUUUUCCUAUAAGCUACGAUGUGGAGAAAAACAUCAAGCAUCUCAACACCCUACAACCCGGAGGGUGGCACUUGGGUGGAUGGAGAUUUGGGAUAGUGUUGGGCAUUGAUUGGAUUCAUAAGUUUAUACGUUAAGCCUAUGGGAACUUGAUAACACGCCCAACACCUGGUGAGCAGUUGUUUGUGGACUUAUAAUUAUUCGUUUACAUUUCAAACUUCUUAUCUUCUCCUUUCUCUUUUUUCUCUCUUGCAUACUAAGCGUUUAUUGAUUUGUUUAUAAAAUUGCUCUCUUAGUGAAACGUUAGGAUUUAUCUAUUACUUGAUUUUAAACUAAUCAAUUUGGUCUUUUACAAGUCCUUUGUGACCUUAUCAAGGUUGCAACUAGAUUGAUCUUUUAUGAAUAGAUAAUGCAAGGGUGUCUUAUGACUUUGGCAAUUCCAACUAAAUCUAUGAUAUUAAUGCAAAGUUACCUCGGGAUUUAAAUAAUUCUAACUAAGUCGAUGAUAUUAAUGCAAAGGUACAUCAGGAUUUAGAUAAUUCUAGCUAAGUCUAUGAUAAUUCGAUGAUCCGAGUCUAUAAUUAAAGUAUUUUCUACGUCACUUAUCUCAACAACAUAUUAGUUCAUCAAACUUAACAUCAAUAAUUUCUUGAUCAGGUUUAAUUAUAUCAUCCUCAAAUGAUACAUUAGAUGAGAUUUGAUUACAUUAUGGUCAAAAUACUCCGUGGUCAAAUUUGAACUUAUGAUCAUCAAACAAUUCUUCAUGGUCGAGAAUGAAUUAUAGUGUUGUCGUGUGUGCCCAUCAUUAUGCGAGCCGUGUGUGUCGUUGCUCGUUGUUCUUCGGUUUUCAACUUGCAUAAAGGACACAUUAUAUUGGUUUAGAUUAGCUCUACUAUUUGUCACUGCCACUUCAAUUCUUUACUAAGUGUAACCAUUAAAAGGUCAAAUCAAAGGGUUUGAUGAUCAAAUUCAAUUUUCAUCGAAGAAAAUAUCCCCGAUAACAAAAUUCUCAUGCAGUCAUUGCUCAAGAAAAGAAUUCUACCAGAAAAUUCUGAAUAUUAUAUGGUGAUCAAUCCCCACCACAUGCUAAUUUCCAAGAUAGGGACAUUUUGGUUGAGUGUCAUAAUAAUAAUUAUAUCUGAUUAGCUUACAUUCAUCUUAGCUAAUAAAACCAAUAAUUUUAACCUUUUAAAUCUUGGUGGAAUUGCAUAUUGAUCUUACCAUUGGAUGAGGUGUUCGCUCAUCCAAACCCAACUGGAGAUUGUGUUUAUUGCACCUAAAAUUUUAAGCUAGUAAACGAGAUAUGAUAUUAUAUUUGUCCUUAACGUAAGGACCAAUUAAGAAUUUUAUUCGACUUCGACAAGAUCGAAAGCAGUUGUGUUCAUCAAGCAAGCAGAUCAGAGGAAACUUUUCUAUUUCCUCUGUGAAUGUUUGAAAGUUGUGUUGCUGAAAUCUAAUGAACAGACGGAAUUGUGAGAUGAUAAUUCAAAUAAUAGUUUAUAAGGAGACAUAAAUGGUAGGUAAAAAACAUUAAUAACCUACCAAAUAAUUUUAAGGGAGAUGUACUAAUGGGUAAUUUUUAUUUUAUAUAUAUAAUCAAUAAUUUUAUUUUAUUUUUUCUAAAUUUGAGGUUUGUUUAUGCCUUGUUAACUAUUUUUAAUUGAAACUCUAAUUUAUAUAUAUUACUUAAAACCCAUUACGAUAUUUAAAAUAUUAGCUACUUUUUAUAUGUCUAUAUGCUUAUUUAAUUUAAAUUAACCAACUUUGCCAAUACUAAUUAGGUCUUUUGAUAAAUUUUUUUUUUUGGUCUUUUGCUUCUGAUGGAUGUUAAUGGCAAUAAUGCGCACAAAGGAUUUCAAUUUCUGAAGGGAUAUAUGCUAUAUCAAAAUUUAAAACGAUAAAUAAAUAUUCUUAAACCUAGAAAUAUAAAUAUACAUAUAAAUAAUAUAUAUGUAUAAUGCUUUAUAACAAAAUUCUCAUAAUUAUUAUUCAAAAUAAAAUUUUGGAAUAAAAUUACUUAAUACUAUAGGGUGAACACUCUCCAUUGUGAGCUGCAUCCACAUAGAUUGCCAAAAUAGAAAAUAUUAUAAUGAUAAUAAUAAUAACAUAUAUAAUAUAAUGAUAAUAAUGUUGAUAUAUUGUAUACAUUUAUUCUCUUUAUAUUUCGCAUUAAGAGUUCUGUGUAUUAGAUACGGCCCUUUCCCUCGCUCUACUCUCUUCCCCCCUCAUAAUAAUAAUGAUAAUAAUAACAUUCUAUUUCAUAUUCUAAAGGAAUAUAACUCAUGCACAAAAUGUCUUGUCCUAUAUCUUUAAAUAUUCUAAACUAAAUAAUAAUAAAUAAUAGUUCCAUUUUCAUCUUCCAAUGGAAAGUAAUUUUUUUUACAUAUUAUGGGAAAUUCUCUACUUCCAAACUUGGCUAUGGAAAUUAAGGAUCAAACUUACACACAACCCUGAGGCAUUAUAUAAUGUAGAACCUUGUGUUUCUCUUUGAUAUUGCAUCUUAUGUCCUUAUCCAUCACUACGGCCAUCUCCUCCGUUGUCACAGGUGUAAAGAAGUAUGAAGGCUUCCUUGCUCAAAGUCUUCGUUCUGUUUUCAUGUGUCGCAAUAUUCACAGGUAUGUCGUGAACUUUGAAUGAUGCAAUACGUUCCAUUGAUGUAAUAGGAUGAGCAAUUAUACAUACAUCAAUCGAUUAAGAUGACAAAACAAAUAUUAAGUAUGAUUUAGCCUGAAAGGAGGAUAUUCGUCAGGGAAGAUUAGUGUUCUUCUCCUAUGGUGUAUUCUUUUCUUUUCUUUCUUCUAUAGCCGGUUAAAUUGCUAAUGACUUGUUCUUUGAUGUGGCUUCAGGGGAUUUGGUGACUUCAAUAUCCUAUGAUUAUACUGCGAGCAUAGAGGCAAGAAUGUUUGAUUAUCUUAAAAUUAAUAUAUUAUUUUUUAAUUUACAUAGUUCUUCACUCUGGAUAAUAUUGUUAUUUUUUUUGGGUUAUAUAUAUGUAUAAAGAUAAUUUUGUGUGGGUCAAAGAAAUAUAUAAAUCACCUAAAAUAUUCUUAAUAAAUUUAGUGCUAGUUUUUAAGAAUAUUAAUAUAAAUUAAUCUUAGUGAAUAAUUAAGUUAUCGUAGUUAAUGAUAUAAAUGUAAAAAGCUUCAGUUUUUGAAGGGAUAUAUAAUUAGAGAAUACAUGUGAUAUUUUCGCAUAAUUGGCUUAAUAUAUUAUUUUUCUAAAUGUCUUGUUAUGCAUUAGAGUGCAAUUGUAUGAAAUGACAACCAUUGGAUUAAUGAUCUAAUGAAGAAAGUAAAAAAAAAAAGGUUUAACACAUGUAUUCUUUCUCUAUAGAUCACUUAAUGUCUUAUUUUCUCUAUCAUUUAAUGCUAAUUUAGUCGUAUCACUUAAUCUUCUGUAUAUGAACACGACAUUGAUUUACCACACGUGUAUUGAAUAAUUAAUGUGCAUUUUAAAUGUGUUACAAAAGCACCCGAUGACCUCCUUACCCUCGGGAAUCCUGACGUCUCUUGUUCUUCCUACAGUGCUUAGCGGAGCCCCAGAGAGCUCAAUAUGGUGGUGGUAUCGUCCGCAAUCCAGAAUUCAACGAUGGCUCCACAGGAUGGUCGGUGUUCGGCUUUGGCCAGAUAGUAGAGAGGACAUCCGACACAGGUAACAGGUUCUUGGCUACGGACCGGAGAAACUUGUCACAUCAAAGCAUGUCUCAGAAGGUAUAUCUGGAGCGGGGGAUGCUCUACACCUUCUCAGGUAUUGUCAUGUCGAUGCCUGCAAGCACUGCUUACGUUACUACUCGGCGAUGACGUUCCUCGUCUUGUUUCAGCCUGGUUGCAGGUCGACCAAGGAAACACCACCAUCACGGCCAUCUUCGAGACGGCUAAGGAUGGCUUGGUCCCCAUCGGAGCGGUUGAAGCCCGGUCGGGGUGUUGGUCGAUGCUCAAAGGUGGCCUGACUGCCAAAUCCUCUGGCCCAGCUGAGUUCCACUUCGAGGUGAGUUCGACGUCAAUCUUCAGCUCACUGCACACGGUUUAAUUUCUUCCAUCUCAAUGUCUGGUGGCUGCAGAGCAAGGACACAAGCGUGGAGAUAUGGGUGGACAGUGUGUCGCUGCAACCGUUCACGGAGGGUCAAUGGCGAGCUCACCAAGCGGAGAGCAUCAACAAGGUAAGAGCUCAGAUCGAGCUUCCGGUGUGCACAUUGAAGCUGUUCGAGUGAAAGCUACAAUGAAACAAGAAGUUAACUGCGCGCAGGUCCGCAAGAAGACUCUUGCAAUCCGAGCCGUGGAUGCCAAUGGUCACGCCGUGCCCGGUGCAUCAGUCUCGAUUCAGCAGAAGAGGUCCGGCUUCCCCUUUGGUUGCGCCAUCGCCAGCACCAUCCUCGAGAACUCGGCAUACCAGAGCUGGUUCACCUCCCGCUUCACCGUCACCACUUUCGAGAACGAGAUGAAGUGGCCCUCGAACGAGCCGGAGCAGGGCAAGGAGCAGUACGCCGACGCGGACGCCAUGCUCGCGUUCGCGAAGCAGCACGGCAUCGCCGUCAGAGGCCACAACUUGGUCAUGGACGUCCCUGAAGCCGUGCAGAGCUGGGUGCAGUCGCUCCCCACGCAGCAACUUCGGGAAGCAGUGAACAAGAGGUUCAACUCCGUGAUACCGAGAUACCGAGGUCAGGUCAUCGCUUGGGACGUCGUCAACGAGAACAUCCACAACACCUACUAUGAGGACAAGCUCGGCGAGAACGCGUCGUCCAUCUUCUACCAGCAGGCGCACCAGCUCGACCCCAACGCGCUCAUGUUCCUCAACGACUUCAACACACUGGAGGCGCCCGUAGACGACAAAGCAACUCCGGAAAAGUACCUCCAGAGGCUGCAGCAGAUCCGGUCCUUUGGAAAUCUUCCGCGGAUGGCGAUCGGGCUUGAGAGCCACUUCACCAUCCCGGACAUAUCUUACGUGAGAUCUGCUCUCGAUAAGCUUGCCGGAGCUAAUGUUCCCAUCUGGCUCACAGAACUGGACGUUGCUAACUCAAACGAGGUACAGUAACUGUUCUGCCAUUGACAUCUUCUCCUUGAGUCCAUGAUCUGACAUCUGAAGUGAACAUGCAGUCGAAGUAUUUGGAGGACGUACUGAGGGAGGCAUACUCGCAUCCAGCCGUGCAGGGGAUUGUGAUGUGGGGAGCAUGGCAUCCACAGGGAUGCUGGAGAAUGUGCUUGACAGACAACAACUUCAAGAACCUGCCGACCGGGGAUGUGGUUGACAAGCUGAUUUUUGAGUGGAAAUCUGAUAACCUGGCUGCAACAACUGAUGCUGAUGGUCUGUACAGGGUCGAGCUCUUCCAUGGCGAGUACAAGAUAACAGUAAGCCACCCUUCAAGCAACUCAU
rnacentral:lncRNA from 1 species